rnacentral:rRNA from 1 species
UACAGAGGGUGCGAGCGUUGUCCGGAAUCACUGGGCGUAAAGGGCGCGCAGGCGGCUUGGUAAGCGUGCGGUGAAAGCCCGGGGCUCAACCCCGGGUCGGCCGUGCGAACUGCUGGGCUGGAGCACUGUAGAGGCAGGUGGAAUUCCGGGUGUAGCGGUGGAAUGCGUAGAGAUCCGGAAGAACACCGGUGGCGAAGGCGGCCUGCUGGGCAGUAGCUGACGCUGAGGCGCGACAGCGUGGGGAGCAAACAGG